AAAAAAAAAAAAAAGAGAGAAGGAAAAGAGGGAAGAAGGGGAGAUUUUUGCUGAACUUCUGCACCUAAGAAGGUUGCUGCACUUGCGUGCACCUAGAUGAGUGAAUCUAACCUGUGCAUUAUGUAAAUCUUGCUGUCAAUGGGUAGUAGCAUGCUAGGAUGGGUUUGCAUGUGUAGUUUGGUCGGUGUAAUUGAGUUUGAUUCACCUCAUAGGUACUGAAUUUAUGGUUUCAGAGUGGGUUUAGAGACCUAAGUUGACUCUGACCCAUCUUUGGGAACCCUAAAAGUUGGGGCUUUUGGUAUGCAUGCUUCCAUUUAUGUAACUGGGAUUGAGAAUGAUGAAGGCAUGCAAUGAAUUAAAUUGAAGCAUGCAUAUGCUGUUGUUGUAUUUUUAUGGGUUAAUUGAGAAGAAUUUGCUCAAAUUCUUCUCUGAGCCAUAUGAAUUUCCUCAAUUGAGCUCAAUUGGAGCUGAAGCAUGGUAAGGCCAUGACACCUGCAACCUUUCAGCUCCAUAUGAGUGGAAAAUUAGAUGGAAAACCCCUAAUUAUGUGAUAUGGGUAUGUACGUUGUUAAAUCAGGGAUUCAAUUGGGUCAAUUGUUCCCUAUAAUACGUCUUCUCUAUGUUAAUUCCUUAUGUGAGCUUAUUGAAGGUUGUGUGUAGUUUAUAAUUAUUUUCCCCAAAGUAAUUCAAUCUCACUAAGUGAGAUUUGAGAGGGGAAGAGAGUUCAGCUCUCAGCUCAGCAACUCCAAGUUGCUCAAAAUUUUAGAUAUUUGUGGAAUUGCUGGGCUGAGUUGUAGCUCAUUGGUUUGGACAUUAUGUGAAUUGUAGAAUAAGCCUAGAGGUAUGUAGGAACCUCCCUUGCUGCCUUAUGCAUUGGCCCUUGGUCUUGUGCACAGCUAUCACAAUGGGUGUUCAGCAGGGCAGAUUCUGACAGACAAAAAAAUUCUGCAGACACCUGCAUCGGCGGGUGAUAGCGGUCGGCCGGUGGCCCUGCAGCCGACCUGCCAGUGGGAUGUCUGCAACCCCAAUAGCUGCCCAUGUUUUUCUGUUAACACCUUGCCCAUUUGUGGGAUAUGUUCCUAUCCUAAUACAUGGAAUUGACCCUAGAAGUAGGGAUAAAUUGAGAGAACUUCUAGGAAUUUAAACGAGGUUAGUAUGUUGACUUAAUAGGGUUGUUUGUGUUCAGCAAUGGACCUAUAUGUAGCUAUGUUAAAUAUUAUGUGUAUUAAUACAAUGAUGUACACCUUUUUUUAGGAACUUAAAUCUCCGGUGAGGAUACAAAGGUUGAUUUUGGGAAUUUAUCAUACUUGUGAUUCAGGUUAUAAGAUGGAGAGAUCACUAAGGCGCCAGAUACUACUAUUGAUGGUUUGAGAUAUGUUCUGGACAUUUGGUCAGUUAUUCCAGAUGCAAAGACAGAACAUUGACUCGACUGUGGGUGUGUUGACUGUGCCUUUGGAGGCUGGUGUUACUGAGUUUCUUUUGGGAGUUUAUUUUCUGUUAUGUAUAUAUUCUGCUGCUAUGUAAUAUACUUUAAUGGAUAUGUAAGAAUUGUGGAGAUGGAUAUGUAUUUCACUUUUUGAGAUGUAUAUAUAUGUCACUACCAUGUAGAUAUCACCAGUUUACAUAUGUGAACUUGAUAUAUCUAUGUAUCCUA